UACGUAGGGUGCGAGCGUUGUCCGGAAUUAUUGGGCGUAAAGAGCUCGUAGGCGGUUUGUCGCGUCGACUGUGAAAACCUACAGCUUAACUGUGGGCUUGCAGUCGAUACGGGCAGACUUGAGUUCGGUAGGGGAGACUGGAAUUCCUGGUGUAGCGGUGAAAUGCGCAGAUAUCAGGAGGAACACCGAUGGCGAAGGCAGAUCUCUGGGCCGUAACUGACGCUGAGGAGCGAAAGCGUGGGGAGCGAACAGG
rnacentral:rRNA from 1 species